ACUCCUACGGGAGGCAGCAGUGAGGAAUAUUGGACAAUGGGCGGGAGCCUGAUCCAGCCAUGCCGCGUGCAGGAAGACGGUCCUAUGGAUUGUAAACUGCUUUUGUACGGGAAGAACAAGGGGCACGCGUGCCCCCUGACCGGAUGACCGUAAGAAUAAGGAUCGGCUAACUCCGUGCCAGCAGCCGCGGUAAUACGGAGGAUCCGAGCGUUAUCCGGAAUCAUUGGGUUUAAAGGGUCCGUAGGCGGGCCGUUAAGUCAGGGGUGAAAGUCUGCGGCUCAACCGUAGAAUUGCCCUUGAUACUGGUGGCCUUGAGUUAUGGUGAAGUAACUAGAAUAUGUAGUGUAGCGGUGAAAUGCAUAGAUAUUACAUAGAAUACCGAUUGCGAAGGCAGGUUACUAACCAUAUACUGACGCUGAUGGACGAAAGCGUGGGUAGCGAACAGGAUUAGAUACCCUGGUAGGUCAGUC
rnacentral:rRNA from 1 species